AAACUGGAGAUGCCACAGCCCUCGACCUACAGCCUUCCAGACCUUCCCACCGUACGGCGGGAGAGUGGGGGUAACCUCAAGCCCACUUGAAACCAGUCAGUGCCAACUGGGCGGCCGCGCAGCCCCCUUCCGGCGCCCAGUUUGCGGUCCGACUCCGCCGCGCCUUUCCGCUGGAGCCCGGGCCUUGUGCCAGCCUGGCUGACUGUGCCACGAGUUACCUGCUUGUCUCGAGUGAAGAAUAGCGCUCCGGCAAAACCUGGAGGCAGCGCUGGAAAAAUCGCACGUGCCGAUCCCGUAAGAAAUCCAGCCGCUCUCCCUCACCGCUCCCUGCUAGCCUCUCAUCCUCAGUGGCCGCCAUGCUGCUCCGGAAGCGACGUCCGCCGCGACCCGGAAUCAGUGCCCGCGGAGAGAAAGAACCCUCCUGUGCUGAACCACAGGGUGCCGGGUGAGGGGACCUGCGCCCGCCGCAGACUAAGCCAGUAUUUGAAACCGCUAUCAUCUGGGUCCUGUGCAGCACUUCCUCUCUCCGAUAUCUCCCUAGCUAGCGCAUGACCCUACCUUUUCUACUCAAAGCCCUCGAGGCUUGUAAACACCUCGCAGGCCUUGUGAAAAUCAAGUCCACAAAUCCCUCCGUCAGAAUUUUUAUCUUGGGAAGCGCAAGGUCAAAAGCAUCAAGUACGCUUUGAGACAAUUCUGGCUCUGUAGAACCUGAGGAUGGUAUAUCUGAAAACGAGGAUGGAUCAGUAUAAACUUGCUAACAGAUUCAUUUUUGGAGGGCCAGUUUUAAGCCGAACGGUUAGGGAAACAGAAAAACAAACCAGUGGAGAUAAAUGUUUAUUGACACUACAAAAGCUCAGAGACUUUCCUAAUCUUAAUCCUUUCUGGAUACCAGGAAUCACUUAAAAAUCUGUGUAUAAUGCCCCCAAACAUAUACAACAUGCAUAUUCAUACCUAUAUAUGACUGCUUGCGUCAUUCUUUUACAAAUCUUACAGAUUUUACUUUGCUUGAGUCGACGUGUUAUCAAGAAUCAAUGGUGCAUCAAUCUGCAACAGCAAAAUAAGCUCAAUAUCUUCUCCAAUUACCUGCAUUCUAAAAAAUUUAAACAUGCUUCUAGUUCUUUUUUCCAAAAAUAGGGAUUUAAGUUGUUUAGCCGGUAUACUAUGCCCUUUAAACUUUCAUGAGGCAUUCCUGAGUAGCGGGUGGGGGGAUCCACCCAAUAAUAUAACUAAACUAGGUUCCCUGUGAUCAACUUAGCUAAUAAAAUUUUGGGUUUAAUUUUGUUAGCUUUCUUAGAAAAUGUAAUUCUUAUACUCUAUGGGCUGGGGUAAUCUUACACUUAUUCAACAAUCCAAAGUGCUCUGAAUAAUUUUUGGUACUAUUAACUACUUAUUCACAGGUAUUCCUGCAUGUCUUUACAAAAUGCCGCAUUUAACAGCCACAGACGGAUUCUAGGCUGUCCUCGGUACUUCCCUACAAAUACGGAGCUCACAGUCCUUGCCCUUCAGGCUUACUUCAUUUUAUUUUUCUUGUACAACCCGAUGUUGUAGCCACCGCUGGAGCCUGGGUCCUCUGCACGGAGACUCUGGUGUGGGUCUUGAGGAGGUGGUCAGUGAAUUCCUGAUAGGGAGACUUGGUGAAUACAGUCUCCUUCCAGAGGUCAGGGUUCAGCCUGCUGUAGACCUUAGAGAUGGCAUAAAAAAUGACCAUGACGAAGUUGCCCAGGAUGGCAGUGCAGCCCCUGGCUGAGGUGUAGCAGUCAUUGAUAGCUGCCAUCAGCAGCAGCUUCUUGGCCAUGGGGGCCGAGACGAUGCCAGUGCUCCUGGGCGCAGGGAUGACCCGCGCCAGCACAGAGCCGUGGCAGCCUGUCACCUUGCAAGGGAUGGUGUGGGGCUUGCCGAUCUUGUUCCCCCAGUAGCCUCUGCGCAUGGGCACAACGGAGAGCUUGGCCAGGAUGAUGGCCCCGCAGAUGGCAGUGGCCACCUCCUUGGAGCACUUAACACCCAGAUCAGUGUGGCCACUGUCCCUGAUGGCAACAAACGCCUUGAACCUGGUGUUCUGGCCGGUGCAGGUCUGCUUCUGCACUGGCACGUCUUCAAAACCUCCUUCUUGAGAGAGGCCCCAGGAAAAAGUCAAUGAUCACAGACUCCUUGAUGGGCAGAGAGAAGAGAUAGAUCUACUCCAGGGACUUAAUCUUCAUGUCCUUGACCAGGCAGCCCAGCUUGGUGACAACCAUCUACUCCUUGUCCUUGGUCUUGCCUCCACGAGCUCUGCAGCUGGCCCCGGCCCCGUCCAUGGCCGCGACACGAGUUCCCCAUCCCAGGGCCGGCUGAGACCCCAGUUCCCCAUCCCAGAGCCCCCCGGGCCUCCGGGCCUCCCAGGUCCCCCGCUGCACCGGCAUCAUCCGCGAUUUGGUGUUUUCUCAGAGAAAAAGCUAAUGUACUUUUUAAACCAGUAUAAGAAAUAUUUAUUUGACAUCUUGUUUAUGAACCUGUAACUUCUAUGAAGUCUGUAA
rnacentral:lncRNA from 1 species